GAAAGAACUCACCAGGAGGAAGAAGUGGGAAACAGAACAGCACAUACAACACGUGAGGUAUAGAAGUGAAACUGGAGAUGGGCAAAACCACCUGACUGGGUUUCAGGUAGCAAGCUCGGUGGCUUCCCGCCUUCCCCGGUCUGCCGUGCACCACGAGGCCCUGAGUCAGCACGGCCGGCGCAGACGUCACGACCACUGGAGCCACGCUGCUCAAGGAAACCAGAGAGACUCUCCCUCCUUUGGGAGCAUCCUUGAAACAAUGAAAAGAAAUCAAUUAUGAUAAAUGAAUAGCAUCUGCCAUCUUGCCGUCUCUCAUUCCUCCAACCACAAAACCCGCCUUGGGAAGAAAACCCAAGGAGUGGUUGGUAGUCAGUGGUGUAGGGUGAGGGAGAGUAAAAGUUUC
rnacentral:lncRNA from 1 species